AUUAAAAAAAAUAAAAAUAAAAAAAAUAAAAGAGACAACAAACACUGGAAAGAGGUUUUCAACUUGCAGACACACAUUGCCUAUGGAUCCUUAGAGGCCUGUGUGCAGCUUUCUUUGACAAUAGGGCUAAACAAAUGAGGAAUCAACUUUCUGUUCUCUAUCCAAAAUUUGAAUACUGAAGCCUUGAGGCCUCUGACUCAUGGUACCAUAUUUUGAUGUUCAGAGAUCAGAGUCUUCUGCUCCCUGGGACAUGUCACCAUUCAUUCAUGUUGUAAAGGACCUAAAGGCACAAGAAUGGAGGCAGGGCCCUGGGCUGACACAUGCCACCAGCCCCAACACCUAAGACUCUUGUCUUUCCCUAGCAAGAUAUCAGGAUUCCAGGCCUGAUGUGAUCUCCUGGUUGGACCAAGGCAAAUUCCCAUGGAUGCUAUGAAGGACAUCUCUAGGGGGCCUUCUCCAGGUGAACAGGCCAAGAAAUAAGAACUUGAACCAAAGAUUCAAGUCUGAACUACAUUAUUUCUGAAGACUUUUCCCCAUAGAAUAGCAGAAAAAUUCAAGUCAGAUGGCAUUUUGUACUCCCUAAGUGAAGUCUCAGAUUUUGGAGAUUACUUAGGGUAUCACUGGAGAAUCCACCUGAUCUGGGGGCUGGAAGUCCAGGAGCAGGGUGCCAGCGCAGUCGGACUCUGAUCAAGAGAAGUCACACCCAAAGUCAAAUGAAGAACUACAUCCAAGGAGCCUUACCUGCACUUGUACCUGAUUUAGAUACUGGAUUUAGAUUCUGGACCUUGAACCUGAGCCCAGUGCCAUAGUAGGAUAAGACUUGGGGGCAGAGCUUGCAAGGGGGAGAAGGGGAGUAGAGGCUGAUCCCUGAGCCCAGGGAGGAUCUUUCUCACAUGGGGCUUACCCCAAAGUGUUCAGGUCAAUAGGACUUGUGGAAAAGAAGACGAAACCGGGAACUGCCUGGAGACCUGCCUGCCCCUCACCAUCAUGUCCUGGCCCUGAUGCUUGAGGGACUUGAGGGAGAAAAACAAAAGACAUGCUUCUGACAUUCUCACUGAACUUCACUUGUCCUUGGUCAGUAAAGCAAGAGAAGCACCUUAAACACUGUCUGGAAACUUCUUUAGCUAGAUCACCCAGUUUAUUAGGUACAUUUUCUACUUUCUGAGUUACUGCAGGUGACUGUGUAGCUAAACUUUCUGCCACUAUGCAGAAUGGAUUCCUGUCUCUGACUUUUAAAAGACAUUUUCCUCCAUUUCCUUUAAGCUCUCAUCUGAAGUAUCCUUAAAAAAAAAAAAAAAGUAUUUACUUAUUUAAGUAAUCUCUACUCCUAAUGUGGGGCUUGAACUCACAACCCCAAGAUCAAGAGUCACAUGCUCUUCUGACUGAGCCAGCCAGGCGUCCCAUCGUCAGAAGUAUCCUUAAAGACCAUCAGACUUCAUCUAACAGAUUCUUCAAAGGCAAUCAUGAUUUCAUUACCACUCAUAUCAAUGUCCUUCUGGCUUCUGACCUUUGCUGGUUCCAAAACUUCUCCCACAUUCCAGUUUUUGUUUCCACAGCAUCCUAUUUCUAAAUAGUGGAUAUAAUUAUCUGCAUUAAUUAUACAUACAGUAAAACCUUGGUUUGAGAGCAUUAAUUUCUUCCAGAAACAUGCUUAUAAUCCAAAGUACUUGUAUAUCAAAGCGAAUUUCCCCAUAAGAA